AAUUGGAGGGCAAGUCUGGUGCCAGCAGCCGCGGUAAUUCCAGCUCCAAUAGCGUAUAUUAAAGUUGUUGCAGUUAAAAAGCUCGUAGUUGAAUUUCGGGAUCAAUAUUUCGGUCAUGCCGUUGGUAUGCACUGUUAUCAUUGAUUCUCACCUUCUAAAGAACCGUAAUGCCAUUAAUUUGGUGUUACGGGGAAUUAGGACUGUUACCUUGAAAAAAUUAGAGUGUUUAAAGCAGGCUCACGCUUGAAUACAUUAGCAUGGAAUAAUGAAAUAGGACAUCCGAUUCUAUUUUGUUGGUUUCUAGGAUCGAUGUAAUGAUUAAUAGGGAUAGUUGGGGGCAUUAGUAUUCAAUUGUCAGAGGUGAAAUUCUUGGAUUUAUUGAAGACUAACUACUGCGAAAGCAUUUGCCAAGGAUGUUUUCAUUAAUCAAGAACGAAAGUUAGGGGAUCGAAGACGAUCAGAUACCGUCGUAGUCUUAACCAUAAACUAUGCCGACUAGGGAUCGGAUGAUGUUAAUUUUUUAAUGACUCAUUCGGCGCCUUACGGGAAACCAAAGUGU
rnacentral:rRNA from 1 species